AACGAACGCCGGCGGCAUGCCUAACACAUGCAAGUCGAACGAAACCUUCGGGGCUGGUGGCGCACGUGUGCGUAACGCGUGGGAAGCUGCCCUUAGGUUCGGAAGAACUCACCGUACGGGGUACUAAGAACGGAUAAUGACAUCGGAACAAGGAUUUAUCGACUUUGGCUGGGUCCGCGUUGGAUUAGCUAGUUGGUAGGGUAAAAGCCUACCAAGGCGACGAUCCAUAGCUGGUCUGUGAGGAUGAUCAGCAACACUGGGACUGGGACACGGCCGAGACUCCUACGCGAGGCAGGAGUGGGGAAUAUUGGACUGUGGGCGGAAGGCUGAUGCAGCUAGGCUGCGUGAGUUCUGAAGGCAUUAGGGUUGUAAUGCUGUUUUAACCGGGAUGAUAAUGACAGUACCGGGAGAAUAAGCUCCGGCUAACUCCGUG
rnacentral:rRNA from 1 species